ACCCACCCGGAGCAACUUAAUCACUCCCCUUUGCAGCCCUCAGAGCAGCGACUUCCCAUCUCUGGGCCAAGUGAACUUCCGAUCUUUCACCAGUUGUCUGCUACUUGCACCUAGGAGAGCCGGGGCAGCCCGCAACCGGACUCCGAGCGGGGCCUAGGGAGCUCAGUACUGGUGAUGGAUACAACCUCCCUGCAAACAUCAAGGACAACAGCUCUAUACUUAUAGUACUCUUGUAAUCCUGAUGGCUGGGCAUUUUUUUCUCUGAAACUCUACUUGUAUAAGAGAUCAUAAAAAAAGAAAAAGGACCCACAAAGUA